AACAUUUGGCCUUUCCUUUUGAAGCAGAAACUGCUUCUUUUGGGGUUUUCUUAACCCUUUGGCCGCCGUUCAGCCCACGUCCCAAUUUCGUCGGAGGGGACACCAGCUCGACGACUCCGGCGAAAGGUAAGUCUCCCUUUUUCUUUCUUUUUCGUAUUUUAAAGAAAAGAAAUAAAAGAUAAUAAUGAAAUAACAACAAAAUAGAACGAAAGAACAAAACUUUCUUUCCCUUUUUCAUUACAUGCGCAGAAACAAAAUAAAAAAAUAACUAAAACACUUCUAAUAAUCACCUUAAAAACUGAUCUUUGCUCUAUUAUACAUAUUUUUUCCUCUGUAUUUUUUCCGUAUCUUUUUUACCCAAUCCCCCCCUUUUUACACAAUAUCAAUGGCUUUUUAUAGCUCGAAAUAAAAAACUAAAUCGAAUCUAUCUGCUAUUUUCUCUCUAUUGGACUCAUUGAGUUCGUUUUGCAGGAAAUCGAGGAGAGUUUGGCGCGCGUGGAGAGGGGUCGGCCCCGAGUCGUGCGGCGCUUGGAGAGGCCGCUGGAGGCGAGGGCUGUUGCGACGCUGAGGGCUUGUUGCGGCGCUCCCUAUUGCUUAGGGCUAGGAUUCCUUUCUCUUUUGUUUUUUUUGUGUGUUUUGGGCUGAUGUCUGUGUUGGGCUUAGGUUGGUUUUGUUAUUGGGCCACUUAUUUGUUGGGCCUUAGACGAGUUUAGGCCUGCUAUUAAAAAACUGAAAUUGCCUGCUUUGUUUUUUUGUUUGGGCCCGGGCAAUUUGGGCUUGUACAUUUAGCAUGAAAAAAUUCAUGGUAUGUACAUUAUAUGUUGAUUAGGAAUUUUUUUUAUGAAAUUGACUUAGGAUGUUGAAAUUAGUUUUGUUAGGAAAAUAACAUUAAAAG
rnacentral:lncRNA from 1 species